rnacentral:rRNA from 1 species
UACGUAGGGUCCGAGCGUUGUCCGGAAUUAUUGGGCGUAAGGGGCUCGUAGGCGGUCCGUCACGUCGGGAGUGAAAACUCAGGGCUCAACCCUGAGCGUGCUUCCGAUACGGGCGGACUAGAGGUAUGCAGGGGAGAACGGAAUUCCUGGUGUAGCGGUGGAAUGCGCAGAUAUCAGGAGGAACACCGGUGGCGAAGGCGGUUCUCUGGGCAUUACCUGACGCUGAGGAGCGAAAGCAUGGGGAGCGAACAGG